AAGAACGAUCUCAAAAUGGAUCAUUUAAAUUCGUUAAUAUCGAAGGGCUGACUAUUCAGGUCGAUGGUAGUUAUACCGUUGAAAGUAGAUUCAACGGUCAUACACACAUCUAUGGUUCCAGCAGCGUUAUCAAGCACAAACUUGAGGAGAUUGUAUCACCUUGUAACCUUACAGAUACCUUGACGUGUGUGUGACUCGGAAAAGAAAAGGGCAGUGUACCUGGAUUUGCUCUCGCACGCGAACUAGAAAAAUGAAGUUUAAUUGUUCCUUCAACGAAUGGUUUCCAUUGUUGAGCAAGAAUUCCAUAGAAGCGGUGGCAUUGCCUAUCCCCAUUGAGGUUAUUGAAUACUUGGAGCAUGGUACCUUCAGAUUACCCAUUGAGGCGAUAGAGCCAUCAACAUCCAAUGAAUCCUCGUGGUCCGAUGGCACUUGCCUAUUAGACAACGAUGAAGAGCCACAAGAAAAAGAAAAACAUCUGGAUAAUAGGGUGGUAGACUCAGAGUCAGGACUACCGUCGUUUCCUGAGUUCAGCAGUAAAAUCAACCAGGUACUCAAAACAUUUGGAGCUGUCUUUGUGAAACUGAACUGGAGUGCUCCUCUGGAUGCAGCCUGGAUUGCUCCAACAAAAACCCUCCGAUGUACAACACUUGAGGAGAUUUAUUUACUGCUGAAAAGUUCUGACCGUGUGGCAGCGGACCUGAAUCAUUUAGAAUUGCUAAAAACUACCAAAGUCACUUUGCAACCUUAUCUGGUUCUAAAAAGAUGGCAAGAAAUAACUCCCUGCACCGAGUUUCGAUGCUAUGUCAUUAAUGGUGAACUCUUGGGAAUUUCUCAACGAGAUCUUUCACAAUAUUACCAAUAUAUAGAAUCGGCAAGGUACAGCAUUCGUCAAGAAAUCAAGAGUUUGUUUAAUGAGCACAUCCGAAAAAGUUUUGUAUCCUGUAAAGAUUACACAUUUGACGUGAUUUACCACGGGAAGGGUCGUGUCCAAAUAAUUGACUUUGGUCCAUAUUUCCCAGAAGAAACGACAGCAUUACUUUUCAAGCACAAUGAACUCACUGGGUCGAUCAACGACCCGCCCGAGUUACGUUAUCUCGGUGAAAAUAUCACCAUGCAACCGAAUGUUGCCAGGUACUUUGGUGUUCCAAGAGACAUUGAGGCAUUUUAUCAAUCCGACAACCUUUUGUCCACAAUGGACAUCAUACGGAGGGAGGUGAGAAACCAAAACGAAAACUCAUUAGCAGAUUAAUGAAGACCAGUUCGAUGGGUUUGAUAAAUUACCUAUAAUUGAAGUACAGUGGAGAUAUUGCAGACAAUUUAUCCUUGACCCUUGUGAGAAGUAUGCUCAGCGAGUUUACCGACUAACACUGUGUAUAGUCAUGGAUCAUUUGAGCUAAAAUGGAUCCAUGAUGCUAAGAAUUGGCUUGACUGAUUAAAUUAAGAUUUCCAAAUUUUUGGAUUACAAAGAAUCUUCGGCAACGUUUUCUCUUCUGAGAUGGAAUUCUGAUCAAGGAAAAAUAUUAUUUCACUACCUAUUGUAUUUUUUGUUAGCAUUAAGACAAAAAAAAAACGAAAUUAGUCAUAAGGAACCCCACCCCAUACACAGACAUUUUAAGCCCUUAAUCAAUAUGAAUUGAAUUCAUUCUUUUACUAAUAAUAUUCUUCAAUACGAUUCCAAAUGUGAUUAUCCAAAGAUUAUUGUAUUUCAACUGAUGGGAAUCACGUUAUUCAAAUCAUUUUAAGAUUUUCAAAGUUUGAUGAAUUUCGGCUGAUAAAAACACACAUAUUUAAAAAAUUAUUAAUUACCGUUUCAGUCGGGGCUUGGGCAGCUUAUAUUAUUAGUAUACAUAGAACACACAUAUUUAAGGAAUAUCAAAAAUAACUUGAGAAUUGUUGUUAGGUUUUAAUUAGUUGUAAGUGUUAAGUCUGCGCUUAUUAGAUACCUAUUUUGAAAAAUUGAAUUUAUUGUUCGAUUAACAAUAGCUAGGAUUUCUAAUCACAUAAGGAUUUUUCGCCUCACACACAGAUUUUUCAGCCCUUAGCUAUUUUUU
rnacentral:misc_RNA from 1 species